AGAAGAUAAAAUGAAACCUGAGUGACAUUGCUCUUGGAGAUAUUUUCAUUAUAUGCUAAACGAUGGACUGGACUAAUUGUUAAUGAUUGAAUUUUGUGUUUGCAGACAGCAGUUUUGAAAUUGGGAAGAAGGAACAUUAUAGAUGGCUUUACACCAUCAGUAACUAAGAGAAAAUCAGUUCUGAACACUAAGGAAAAUAAGAUUUUCAGAAGUGGAAACCACAAGAAGAAUAGCAUCUGAUAACAGUAACAUAUAAGAACUUGUCUGGACUUGAACAACUUGUGAUACAUCUGACUGAAGAAAAUAUCUACUUAGUACAAAAGAAGUGUCAUAUGUGGUUUCAGAAAACAAACAAAAAACAGAGCUAACGGCAAGGGCUGUGAGCUGGUUAUCACAAUCACAACAUUCUAGUAUGGCUUCCUAAACUAAUUUGUUGUUACCUGAUGGAAAGGAAUAAAACAAAAAAAGAAUCUCC